CCCAGGUCUCGGGAAAUGUGCGCACCGGACAGGAUACCAGCCUGACAGAAAAGAACAAGACAGGAGCACAAGACAGGGACUGCUUUGUAAGGUGCAUUCUCUGCUGGGUGCCGGUGUGUCUUGAACACCUUCCACACAGUUGUUAACCAAGACCACCAGUCUCAAAGUCAAGAUUUCCACUGACAGCAACAGCUAGCUAAAAGGUAAUA
rnacentral:lncRNA from 1 species